rnacentral:rRNA from 1 species
UACGAAGGGGGCUAGCGUUGCUCGGAAUUACUGGGCGUAAAGCGCACGUAGGCGGAUUUGUAAGUCAGGGUGAAAUCCCGGGCUCAACCUCGGAACUGCCUUUGAUACUGCAAAUCUCGAGUCCGGAAGAGGUGAGUGGAAUUCCUAGUGUAGAGGUGAAAUUCGUAGAUAUUAGGAAGAACACCAGUGGCGAAGGCGGACUCACUGGACUGGUAUUGACGCUGAGG